rnacentral:rRNA from 1 species
UACGAGGGGAGCAAGCGUUGUUCGGAUUUACUGGGCGUAAAGGGUGUGUAGGCGGUUCUUUAAGUUUGGUGUGAAAUCUCCCGGCUCAACCGGGAGGGUGCGCCGAAUACUGAGGGACUAGAGUGCGGGAGAGGAAAGUGGAAUUCCUGGUGUAGCGGUGAAAUGCGUAGAUAUCAGGAGGAACACCGGUGGUGUAGACGGCUUUCUGGACCGUAACUGACGCUGAGACACGAAAGCGUGGGUAGCAAACAGG